UGUAAUAUUUAUAUUUAUAUUUGGAUUGUAUAAUGGGGUUUGUCUCAUUUUAGGUUGCAUAUGAUCUUGGGGCAUGUGAAUACAAAGGUGUAUGUCUGAAAGCAAUAAUUUACAUCUGAAUCUGAACAAAACCACUAUAACUUUAUCCUUGGAGCAAAUAAUUAAAUUAGUUUAAAAAAAUUAUUAGUAAAAUAAUCUUUACUACAAAUACAAAGUCUUCAACCUGUCUGUUUUUAUUUUAUUUAUUUUUUUUAGCAUGGACACAUUAAGAGAUGAUAUGCGAGAGUAACAAUCAGAACUUAUUAUCCUGUAUGCAACAGCAAUCAUCAGACAUAUGUCUCCCUUCAUGGUCUUGUUGUUACCUACGCUCUCUCUGAGCAGAAGUAUUAGCCAGGAUGUCUUACUUAUUGCGCAGAGGACUUCAAUCUGAGAAACUGAACAGUAGGGUAUGUCUAGACCUGUGGGGCUGACAUUUACUAAAGAAAAUGUCAGAAAUCUGCACAGAUAACUGAUUUUCCGAGUGACGGGGUGAGAUAACCAUAGUGGUUAACAGGUCAGGCUCUCACCAGUGGAUUGCAGGCUUCAUUCCAUGCUAAGGCAUCGUGACCCAUUAACUUCUGUGAACAGUGAAAGGUGAAAAUUACUUCAGAAUGAAUAAAAUUGCACAUUUAUAGACAUCUAACGAAUAUUUUUUCUGCCUUGUUUUACAUUACUGCACAAAUACAAACCAAGUUUACUCAUCAGCUGAAGAAGUAAAUGAGCAGAGAUAUGUACUUACGAAGGAAAAAUAGCAUGUUUUAUUUGUAUAACAAAUUAUUAUAAAGCGUUUACUUUGUUAUUAAAUGAACAUGAGCCAAAACAGCUGCUGUACAGAGUCUGCAUGGCUUUGUCUGUGAAUAUGGCCAGUAAAAAUGAUUCUUUAUUUAUUAAUUUUUAAUAAAUAAAUAAAUAAAAACAAUUGAGAUAACUAUUAUUGCAUUGUGACAUUUCGCUGAAUUUACAUCAAAUGUGUUGUCUCUCUGGUGCAUGUAUUGUGUGCCAUCAUAUCAACAUAUCACAUAUGCCAUCAUUUAAGUAUUGGCUAUACUGUUUUGUUUAAAACUGUUAUCGGCCGAUUUUGAUACGGCCUCAACAUUACCAUCGAUACUUUUUCAUUUUGUUUUUCAUUAUGGAAGCCAGUGUAGGUGAAAUGUUAGAGCCGAUUGGUUUUGUUCACUUUGAUAUCGUCGAUAAUGUGCUUUCAAAGCCGUGGCACGUUGUAGCCAAUGCGAUUGAAGGUUUUUUCAUUUGUGAUCGCAGGUGCCGGAGCCGCUGAUUUGUGUGCCCUUGGCGGUGUGGUCAUGUGCUUCUCAUAAGGUCCCUUCCAACAGGCGUGGGGAGACAAAAGACUGAGUCAGCCAUCCCCAGAGGGCCUAGUGGGCGUUAUCUUCUCAGGCUUUGAGAGCAGCCUCUACAGCGGCAGGGAAACAGGGCCAGCCCCCAGGGUUCACCCACAUGGAGGGAAGGCAUACUGUAUGGUGGAGGAAACCGCUCGGAAGAAAGGGGAGUCAGAAGACUGCUGUUCUAUGGCAAUAAAUCAAAAAAGGCCCUCCAACCACUCAAUGGCAUUUUUACAACAUUUUUACAGUAUGCUGCUCCUGCUUGUCUGGAUUACCCGCUCCUAAUGGCAUAACUACAUUAAUCACUGAGAUAUUGAGGACUGUCAUGAGUCACCCCCCCCCCCCCCCCCCAAUUAGGAACAUAAGGAUUUCCAAACAUCAUCCAUGAUGUUGAACCUUCAGUUGAGUAUUGAACCUUGUGUGACCCAUUUUUAGUCCAUGGGUACUGAUUUUUUUAAUGUCCUGUGUCAAGUAAAGAUAUACAUAAAAACAAA